UUCUAUAAAUAUGGGCGUCACAUAGGGAGCAGCUCAAGAGGAAACUUGACCAUCACCAGAGUUUCCAAGUCUGAUGAAGGACUUUACAAAUGUAAGAUCUCAGGAGGUGGAGAAUCCCCAGAGAGCUGGCUGUCUGUCUCUGCGCCAUGUCUCACAGCUUCCACACCCUGGAUAAUUGCUACUAUUUUACUGACCACUCUGAUUAUUGUGUUGAUGGGACUCUAUCUCUUCCGCAAAGAUUGGUACAGAGGCCCAACUGAAGAUCAAACAGGACAGAACACAAACAAUGAAGCUGAGUUGUGUCCUAAUCCAGUUUAUCAUUCUUUGGGCCAGGGUGGCACUCAACCUGUUGCAGAAACAGUGAAAUCUGCUGUUGCAUACAAACCUUCCCAAGAUAUCUACCAACCUGUGGCAGAGGAACCUUUCUAUUCUACAAUUAAAAAACAUGCCCAUCACUGAGUGAGACUGAAAACAAGGAAGUAACUUAGAAACAUCCCGUAUUGUUUAUUGUGUAUCAUUUUGCAGUCAGUUAAAAUCUGUGUAUUGUGUAUUCGUAAGUGCUUACUGUAUUACAGGUCUCUGUAUAAUGAUACGUAAAGAAUUCACAAUGAUUAGAAAUGUGAAAACAAAUUUACUUCAGAUUUGGUGUCAAUUCACAAAUGAAUUGAAUUAAAUUGAGUUCCAAAUGUUACAGGUGAUUGCAUUAGAUAAUAAUAAUAAUCAUCUGGACUUUAUUUGUUUGAGCUUUCUUUCUCAGUUACAAAUGAGGCCCAGUGGAGUAAAGGCAUAAAAAAGAAAUAGUCAUGUUUCCAACCUUGUUAGCAUGGUCCAACUAUAAACAUGGUUAUGGAUAAAAUAAUUCAUGUAUUGCUAAUGAUAUAUUUCACAAAUCAGCUAUUAAUGUCAUUAUAACUUAAUAUAAUGAAUGAAGUACUAUGAUUUUAUUCUGUGUGGAUUUUUGUGCCCCCUGCAUCCAAGUACUGUGUGUGUAGGUGUGUGUCUGUGUACUUCAUGAGGACAUAGCAUUUGGUCUUCACAAAACAAAACCCUCCAUCCUCAUAAUUUUGAAGUCAUUUUUGAGGUUCAAGGCUCCCUUCGUUGACUUUCUGUCAAUUUUAGGAUACACUUUUUAAAGAUUUAAUUAAUUAAUUUUAUGAUCAUGAUUCUGAAUGGGCUGACACCGCUGCAUCAGUCUGACAAUAUUCAUGGUCACACUCUUAUCAGGUCAUCCAAUGAAAUGAUCCUAAAUAAUCCAAGAUCUAGACUUAGAAAAAACUGACGUUAAAAACUGAGGUGGCCACUUCAUGUUAGAACUGCCCAAACUGAUUCUACAGUACUUUUAACUGUUUAUUCUUUAGUCUUUGAUUCAAGCUAAAGCGGCCUCACGGUGCAGAGAUAGUCUCUCACUAAGAGAACCAAGGUUACACCGUAACCGUACGAUCUCGUAAUGUUUUUUCUUCUCAUCAUUAUUAUUAUUAUUUCUUUACUUGUUCAACAUAGGUGUUAUCCAUGGACAUGUAGUGUUUUAUGUUAUUUUCGUUUAAUCAUUAAAUAAAGGAAUU